UGGGGAAUAUUGGACAAUGGGCGAAAGCCUGAUCCAGCCAUGCCGCGUGUGUGAAGAAGGUCUUCGGAUUGUAAAGCACUUUAAGUUGGGAGGAAGGGCAGUAAGCGAAUACCUUGCUGUUUUGACGUUACCGACAGAAUAAGCACCGGCUAACUCUGUGCCAGCAGCCGCGGUAAUACAGAGGGUGCAAGCGUUAAUCGGAAUUACUGGGCGUAAAGCGCGCGUAGGUGGUUCGUUAAGUUGAAUGUGAAAGCCCCGGGCUCAACCUGGGAACUGCAUCCAAAACUGGCGAGCUAGGGCAGGGCAGAGGGUGGUGGAAUUUCCUGUGUAGCGGUGAAAUGCGUAGAUAUAGGAAGGAACACCAGUGGCGAAGGCGACCACCUGGGCUCAUAAUGACACUGAGGUGCGAAAGAGUGGGGAGCAAACAGG
rnacentral:rRNA from 1 species